rnacentral:lncRNA from 1 species
UUAUCUCCACGAGGCGGGGUCCUCCGAUCAUCCCCACCAAGCGCCGCCUCUCCUCCUCCUCCUCAACAUCCAUCCUCUCUCUCUCUCNNNNNNNNNNNNNNNNNNNNCUCUCUCUCUCUCUCUCUCUCUCUCUCUCUCUCUCUCUCAGGUUCUCUUCCAUCUCUGCUAUUUUUGACCCUACUCCUUGGCAUCACUUAGCUUCUAAUGCUGCUUCUUGGGAUCGAUGGAGGAGCGUGUUCUUAACUAAAAUUUCUUGGUUUCUUUAAAUUUUUCUUGUUUUCUUUAAAGUUUGCUCGUGUUCUUUAAAUUGUUGGUCUUCUACGCGAAUGUGGUUUGACGAUCUCUUUGCGUCCACUUAUCCCGAUUCUUGAUGUAUGGAGAAGAGAAGACUGCCUUAUCUUGAUUUCCCUUUUUUCCAGAUGCUAAUUUAAAAAAAAGAUGAACUGGUUUUACGAGAAUAUUUGUUCUUGAAGUAAUGGGAUAUUGCUGCUUCGUAAUUUUGAUGCUAUUCUUCCACUGACGUUCAUUUGAUCAUUUUCCUAAGGUGAUUUCGAGUUGAAAACCCGGUUCUUGGCUUCAAAAAGAAUCGGCAGUAAAUAUUUUACUGUCACUUAUGCUUUGGAAAAUUU